rnacentral:rRNA from 1 species
UAAGGAGGGAGCUGCCAAAGGCAGGGUUGAUGAUUGGGGUUAAGUCGUAACAAGGUACCCUUACCGGAAGGUGGGGAUGGAUCACCUCCUUUCUAUGGAG